rnacentral:rRNA from 1 species
AACGAACGCUGGCGGCAUGCCUAACACAUGCAAGUCGAACGAGACCUUCGGGUCUAGUGGCGCACGGGUGCGUAACGCGUGGGAACCUGCCCUUAGGUUCGGAAUAACUCCCCGAAAGGGGUGCUAAUACCGGAUAAUGUCUUCGGACCAAAGAUUUAUCGCCUUUGGAUGGGCCCGCGUUGGAUUAGCUAGUUGGUAGGGUAAAAGCCUACCAAGGCGACGAUCCACAGCUGGUCUGAGAGGAUGAUCAGCCACACUUGGACUGAGACACGGCCCAGACUCCUACGGAAUGCAGCAGUGGAGAAUAUUGUACAAUGGGCGAAAUCCUGAUCCAGCAAUGCCGCGUGAGUGAUGAAGGCCUUAGUGUUGUAAAGCUCUUUUACCCGGGAUGAUAAUGACAGUACCGGGAGAAUAAGCUCCGGCUAACUCCGUG